rnacentral:rRNA from 1 species
AACGAACGCUGGCGGCAGGCUUAACACAUGCAAGUCGAGCGCCCCGCAAGGGGAGCGGCAGACGGGUGCGUAACGCGUGGGAACGUACCUUUUGGUUCGGAACAACUCCGGGAAACUGGAGCUAAUACCGGAUAAGCCCUAACGGGGAAAGAUUUAUCGCCGAAAGAUCGGCCCGCGUCUGAUUAGCUAGUUGGUGAGGUAACGGCUCACCAAGGCGACGAUCAGUAGCUGGUCUGAGAGGAUGAUCAGCCACACUGGGACUGAGACACGGCCCAGACUCCUACGGGAGGCAGCAGUGAGGAAUAUUGGACAAUGGGCGCAAGCCUGAUCCAGCCAUGCCGCGUGAGUGAUGAAGGCCUUAGGGUUGUAAAGCUCUUUUGUCCGGGAAGAUAAUGACUGUACCGGAAGAAUAAGCCCCGGCUAACUUCGUG